AGAGUUUGAUCCUGGCUCAGGAUGAACGCUAGCUACAGGCUUAACACAUGCAAGUCGAGGGGCAUCAGGGAUUUAGCUUGCUAAAUCCGCUGGCGACCGGCGCACGGGUGCGUAACGCGUAUCCAACCUUCCCGUUACUCUUGGAUAGCCUUCCGAAAGGGAGAUUAAUACAAGAUGGUGUUUCAAAUUCGCAUGUAGAUGAAACUAAAGAUUUAUCGGUAACGGAUGGGGAUGCGUUCCAUUAGCUUGUUGGCGGGGUAACGGCCCACCAAGGCAACGAUGGAUAGGGGUUCUGAGAGGAAGGUCCCCCACACUGGAACUGAGACACGGUCCAGACUCCUACGGGAGGCAGCAGUGAGGAAUAUUGGUCAAUGGUCGAGAGACUGAACCAGCCAAGUAGCGUGAAGGAUGAAGGUUCUAUGGAUUGUAAACUUCUUUUAUAAGGGAAUAAAACCACCUACGUGUAGGUGCUUGUAUGUACCUUAUGAAUAAGCAUCGGCUAACUCCGUGCCAGCAGCCGCGGUAAUACGGAGGAUGCGAGCGUUAUCCGGAUUUAUUGGGUUUAAAGGGUGCGCAGGCGGACUGUCAAGUCAGCGGUAAAAUUUCGGGGCUCAACCCCGUCCGGCCGUUGAAACUGGCAGACUGGAGUGCGGCAGAGGGAUGCGGAAUGCGAGGUGUAGCGGUGAAAUGCAUAGAUAUCGCGCAGAACUCCGAUUGCGAAGGCAGCGUCCCAUGCCGUAACUGACGCUGAGGCACGAAAGCGUGGGGAUCGAACAGGAUUAGAUACCCUGGUAGUCCACGCAGUAAACGAUGAGCACUAGCCUUUCGGGCCGAAUGAGGCCUGGGAGGCACAGCGAAAGCGUUAAGUGCUCCACCUGGGGAGUACGCCGGCAACGGUGAAACUCAAAGGAAUUGACGGGGGCCCGCACAAGCGGAGGAACAUGUGGUUUAAUUCGAUGAUACGCGAGGAACCUUACCCGGGCUCAAACGACAGGGGAAUGGCGUGGAAACAUGCCAGCCGGCAACGGCCGCUGUCGAGGUGCUGCAUGGUUGUCGUCAGCUCGUGCCGUGAGGUGUCGGCUUAAGUGCCAUAACGAGCGCAACCCCCAUCUUCAGUUACUAACGGGUCAAGCCGAGGACUCUGGAGAGACUGCCGGCGCAAGCUGCGAGGAAGGCGGGGAUGACGUCAAAUCAGCACGGCCCUUACGUCCGGGGCGACACACGUGUUACAAUGGCGGGGCACAGAGGGAGGCCAUGGCGCGAGCCAGAGCGGAUCCCGAAAACCCGUCUCAGUUCGGAUCGGAGUCUGCAACCCGACUCCGUGAAGCUGGAUUCGCUAGUAAUCGCGCAUCAGCCAUGGCGCGGUGAAUACGUUCCCGGGCCUUGCACACACCGCCCGUCA
rnacentral:rRNA from 1 species